UACGUGGGGGGCAAGCGUUGUUCGGAAUGACUGGGCGUAAAGGGUGCGUAGGCGGUGUAGCAAGUUAGAAGUGAAAUACCUAGAGCUUAACUCAGGUGCUGCUUCUAAAACUGCUAUACUUGAGUGCAGUAGAGGAAAGUGGAAUUCCUAGUGUAGCGGUGGAAUGCGUAGAUAUUAGGAGGAACAUCAGUGGCGAAGGCGACUUUCUGGACUGUAACUGACGCUGAGGCACGAAAGUGUGGGGAGCAAACAGG
rnacentral:rRNA from 1 species